rnacentral:misc_RNA from 1 species
UUAUAAUUUAAUUCGAUUCGGUUCAAUUCGAUUUCAUUCGAACCGAAUGCUCACCCCCCAGAUUCAGCAGCUCAAGCUUAAGCUCAAUAAUGUGAAGAGUAUUAAUCUGUCAUAUAUAAUAUUGCUAACAGUAGAAAAUAUCUCUUGUCUCUCUAUUUUAUUAGCUGCAAAUAUUAGACAAGAAACUUGUUGCAAACACUGAUGAGAGACAAAACACAAAUCCCAACAUCAAUAGUCGAUAUAGAUAACACAAUCUUACCAAUCUUGUAUUAUUGCUGAGUUGUUUGUUUGUAAAUUCAUUGAAUAAGCCAAUCAAAAUCUUGGAAUUCUUACCUUUUUGUGCUGCCACAGUGUUUACACAGUAAGAUUAGAGAAGAAGACACUCAAUAUGUUGUACUAUAAUUACCCUAGCACAUAAUAAUAAUAAUAAUAA